rnacentral:ncRNA from 1 species
CAAAGGUUUGGUCCUGGCCUUAUAGUUAAUUAAAGGUAGAAUUACACAUGCAAAACUCCCUACCCCAGUGUCAAAUCCCUAGGACUUAACAUUUAAGCUCUAUGGAGAGGGUAUCAAGCACAUACCUAUAGCUAAAGACACCUUGCCUAGCCACACCCCCACGGGACCCAGCAGUGAUAAAAAUUAAGCAAUAAACGAAAGUUUGACUUAGUGAUGCCUUCUUAGGGUUGGUAAAUUUCGUGCCAGCCACCGCGGUCAUACGAUUAACCCAAACUAAUUAUUUUCGGCGUAAAACGUGUUAUUAACCAAAUAAAUAGGGUUAAGACCUAACCAAUAUGUGAAAAUUCAUUGUUAGCAUCAAACUCAUUAACGAAAGUAACCCUAAUAAUAUUAAGACACGAUAGCUAAGACCCAAACUGGGAUUAGAUACCCCACUAUGCUUAGCCUUAAACCAGAGAAGUUAAUUAACAAAACUACUUGCCAGAGAACUACUAGCCACAGCUUAAAACUCAAAGGACUUGGCGGUACUUUAUAUCCAUCUAGAGGAGCCUGUUCUAUAAUCGAUAUACCCCGUUAAACCUCACCACCCCUUGCUAAUUCAGCCUAUAUACCGCCAUCUUCAGCAAACCUUAAAAAAGGAUAAAAGUAAGCAAGAGCACCCUCGUAAAAACGUUAGGUCAAGGUGUAGCCUAUGAGGUGGGAAGCAAUGGGCUACAUUUUCUUGAUAAGAACACUCACGCUACCCUCUAUGAAAUCUAGAGGACAAAGGAGGAUUUAGUAGUAAAUUAAGAGUAGAGAGCUUAAUUGAAUAGAGCAAUGAAGUACGUACACACCGCCCGUCACCCUCCUCAAAUUAGACUAAUUAUCACUAUAACUAAUUACAACUAAUAAGCCUAUGAGAGGAG